UACGUAGGGGGCAAGCGUUGUCCGGAUUUAUUGGGCGUAAAGAGCGUGUAGGCGGCCAUACAGGUCAGCUGUGAAAACUCGAGGCUCAACCUCGAGACGUCGGUUGAAACCGUAUGGCUAGAGUCCGGAAAAGGAGAGUGGAAUUCCCGGUGUAGCGGUGAAAUGCGCAGAUAUCGGGAAGAACACCCGUGGCGAAGGCGGCUCUCUGGGACGGUACUGACGCUGAGACGCGAAAGCGUGGGGAGCGAACAGG
rnacentral:rRNA from 1 species